rnacentral:misc_RNA from 1 species
GAAAUGCGAUAAGUAAUGUGAAUUGCAGAAUUCAGUGAAUCAUCGAAUCUUUGAACGCACAUUGCGCCCCGUGGUAUUCCGCGGGGCAUGCCUGUUCGAGCGUCAUUUAACCCAAUCCAGCUUGCUGGGUCUUGGGCUUCGCCUCCGGGCGGGCCUCAAAAUCAGUGGCGGCGCCGUCUGGCUCUAAGCGUAGUAAUACUCCUCGCUACAGGGCUCCGGACGGUUGCUGGCCAGUAACCCCCAAAUUUAUUCAGGUUGACCUCGGAUCAGGUAGGGAUACCCGCUGAACUUAA